UACGGAGGGGGCUAGCGUUGUUCGGAAUUACUGGGCGUAAAGCGCACGUAGGCGGCUUUGCAAGUCAGAGGUGAAAGCCCGGGGCUCAACCCCGGAAUUGCCUUUGAGACUGCAUCGCUAGAAUUGUGGAGAGGUAAGUGGAAUUCCGAGUGUAGAGGUGAAAUUCGUAGAUAUUCGCAAGAAUACCAGUGGCGAAGGCGGCUCACUGGCCCGGUACUGACGCUGAGGUGCGAAAGCGUGGGGAGCAAACAGG
rnacentral:rRNA from 1 species